AUGGUGCUCAGAGACCCAACGGCCGCCGCCGCGGCCAGCGACGUGACCGGGAGCGCCAUCGCCGCCUCCUAUAAUGACCAGAUACGGCCCCUCCUGGACGCCGUGGACCGCCUGCGCCACCUCAAGGUGACGCAGGAGGGCAUCCAGCUCCCGACGAUCGUGGUCGUGGGCGACCAGUCCAGCGGCAAGUCGAGCGUCCUCGAGUCGCUGGCCGGCAUCAGCCUCCCUCGCGGCCAGGGCAUCUGCACCCGCGUGCCGCUCGUCAUGCGGCUCCAGGACGACCCCUCCGCCGACUCGCCGGUGCUACAGCUGGAGUACAGCAACUGCCGCGUGGUGACCACCACGGAGGCCAAUAUAGCCGGGUCGGGCAAGGGGAUCUCCGACGCGCCCAUCACCCUCGUCGUGCGCAAGCGGGGCGUGCCCGACCUCACCCUCGUCGACCUGCCCGGCAUCACACGCGUGCCGGUCAAAGGACAGCCCGAAGACAUCUACGACCAGAUAGCCAAGAUCAUCAAGGACUACAUCUCGCCGAAAGAGAGCAUUAUCUUGAACGUGCUCUCUGCCACGGUCGACUUCCCGACGUGCCAGUCCAUCCGCAUGUCGCAGCAGGUGGACCGCACCGGGGAGCGCACGCUUGCAGUGGUCACCAAGGUGGACAAGUCCCCCGAGGGCUUGCUCGAGAAGGUCACCAUGGACGACGUAAACAUUGGCCUUGGGUACGUCUGUGUCCGCAACCGCAUCGGUGACGAGACCUAUGACCAGGCUCGCGUAGAGGAGGAGAAGCUGUUCAAGUACCACCCACUGCUGUCCAAGAUCGAGAAGUCCAUGGUGGGCAUUCCUGUGCUCGCGCAGCGACUCAUGCAGAUUCAGGCGACCAUCAUCGCCAAGUGCCUCCCAGACAUCGUCAAGCAGAUCAACGACCGCCUCAGCCGGAGCAGCACCGAGCUCAACCAGAUACCGCCUGAUCUUGUUGGCGUCGCUGACGCGGUGAGAGAGUUUAUUCGUAUUAUACUGGUGAGGGGCGAGUUCGAUGAGUUCCCUGAUGACUUUCAUUUCCAUGGCACGGCCCGUAUUGCGGAGAUGCUCAAUGCAUACGCAAAGAAGCUGCCUGUAGAAGUCCCAGGGCGUGGCAACCUGUUCCUGAUGGAGGAGGUGAGAGUUCUGGAGGAGACCAAGGGCGUCAACCUCCCCAACUUCCUGCCAAGAUCGGCCUUCCAGGUCUUGCGCAAGGAGAAGGUCGAGACCGUCAUGCAGAUACCGCACGAUCUUGUCAAUGAGGUGUGGGAGUAUGUGGAGGACUUGGUGUCUAAGGUAGUUCUGCAGCAUGCCGACAACUUCCCUCAGGUGCAGUCAUCCUGCCGACGUGCAGUCCAGAUGCUGAUGGAGAAGGCACGUGCGCGAUCCGCGCAGCACAUUGAGGAGCUGAUCGAGAUGGAGCUGGUAGCUGAUUUCACGGCAAAUCCUGAAUACAUGAAGACUUGGUACGAGAUCAUGGAAGGUCAUGAGAAGUUUAUGGAAGCUGUGGUGGACACCUCAAAGCCCACCCUUCUUAACCUGGUAGGCUUUGGAGAAGUGGACGUGUCGCAUCUGAGGGUGAAUUCUGAGUUGGCAGGGCAGGCAUUUGACCUGAGCGCGCGCCUGACUGCCUAUUGGAAGAUCAUCGUGCUCCGGCUCAUUGAUGGCCUGGCGCUGCAUGUCCUCCGUGGCGUCAAGCGGCUAGUGGAGAGUGACCUCGAGAGGGAACUGUCUGAUGAGCUCUUGGGCAACAAGCUGGCAAGGGUGGAGCGGAUGCUCAUGCCGUCGCCUGGCACUGGCACCAAGCGUGAGCGCCUGAAGAAGAUCAUCGUGCUGCUUAGGCAGUCCAAGGAGGUCGUGGCCAACAUCAUGGACAGGAUCAGCGCGUCAGGUGAAAUCUAG
rnacentral:rRNA from 1 species